UAUUAAUCUUAUUUGAAAAAAAAAAAGUUCAAAAAAAUUAAAAACCAAUCGACUCUUCCAUUUAACUCUCCCGAUCGCAAUCUGAACAUCUUUAAGGUGAGCUUUGUGAUGAGGAAGUCUCAAAGGUCAAUCGAUUUUUUCCCCUCGAUUGGAGUCGACGAUUGAAGAAUUUCACUCUCCCAAUCCCAAUCUGAACGACUGUGAUGAAGAAGUCUCGGAGGUCAAUCGAUUUUUUUUUUCCAUCGGUUGGAGUCGACGAUUGAAGGCAUAAAGAACGGGUUCUUAAUCGCUACUUUCCAAUUGAAAAUUGCGAUUUCAGUUGCUUCAGUCACUGAGUGCAGAGGUUUCAAAUUUGUGAUUUACCAAAGACUUGUACAACUUCUUCUUCUGCUUCUUUCUUCUACUACUCUUUCAAGUCUGAGUCAGUUCGACUCAUUCACUUGCAAAAUGUUUUUUCGCUGAUCUGCUAUUGGAGAUGAAUCCACCCCAGCACCCCGCCGCCACUACUAGCCCCAAGGCCCGUAGAUCUGACUCCAGACUUCUUUUUUGGUAUAUUCGACACGAGAAUCGAUGGGAAUGCUUGAAAGAAAUUCUGCAUGUGUGGGAAAGGCAGAACAUAGUAGUAGGUACUUGGCUAAAUAACUUCUAUAGGAAAUUGAAGAACCCAGUUCCUAUGUCACCCUGUGGAAGUGGGUGACUUUGAAUUUGAGAUACAAGAGGUUUUGCGCUGCAUACUUCGUACAGUUUUGUUUCAUCGAGAUGUUGGUCUUGUGAGGCCCAAAGAUGCGGAUUUGGAACUUUUUGAUAUUACAUAUGUCCAAUGUGGAGAUUUGGAAAUUGAAAAGAAAAUCGAGGAGAAGAUUGAGCAAUUUAUUAGUUGGGUUGAGAAACACCCCAACAAAAAGAGUCAGGUUUGUGGCGUUUAGACUGUUUAAAUUUAAACAACAUAAUGUAGUUUGCGAGCUGGCUUCGAAAGAUGUAAAAUAUAUGUUUUUUUCUUUAUGCUUUCCAAAAGGUACACUGAAUUAAAAUGUAUGGUGUUUAUUUUCAUUUCUCAGUAAUGGGGAUAUGUUCUUUCUCAACUCAUUGAUUUGUCACAUCCUUGUGUGAAAUAAGUUCUGAUGGAAAAGUUUGUGUGGGAAAGGCAGAACAUAGUAGUAGGUACUUGGCUAAAUAACUUCUAUAGGAAAUUGAAGAACCCAGUUCCUAUGUCACCCCGUGGUAUGUUUGUGUAUAUAGUAUAGUUCUAUCCCGAAUGAAAUAGGAGAUUGAUUGACUGGGAUUAUUAUCUCUAUUUGUACUUGAAUGUAGAUUCUUGAUCUUCAAAGGUUUGGCUCCUGGAAAGCUCCUCUAGCUGAUAAACUGCUUAUUUAUGACUUUGACCGAGAUUGCAAGGAUGUUGGAGUCGCUCUUUUCACUACUAAAUAUUUUGUUGUCUGAAACUGCUUGCCCAAUGCAAAGUCAGAUAUGCUUUUAUCAGCAUGGAAUCCUCCACCAGAGUGGGGAAAUUUUCUUAACCAAUACUCAAAAAUAGUGCCAAUAAGGUACUAUGGUGCCAAUAAGUUACUAUUUUCAAUUGAUCAGUCAUUCUACAUCUUCUUCUUUCUGUUUCUUUCUUCCUUUCUUUUGUCCUGAUUCUUUCUUUGAAGUAAUUAGAGUCUAGAUAUUUUGUACAAAAAGAAAGGUGUAAAUUAGAAAAUGCAUUUGAAAUUAUGAGCUGUUAAUUUUCGGUUCAAUUUUCAUACAUGCUGUUAACUUUCACAUGAUGAUUUAUGAAAUUACGUGUAAUCAUAUAAAUAUUUUAUUGUAAAUAUAUUUUUUAUUUUAAGACUUUAUUUAAUAA